UACAGUUGACCCUUGAACAGCAUGAGUUUGAAGUGCAUGGAUCCAAUUUUAUGCAGAUUUCCUUCUGACUCUGCCACCCCUGAGACAGCAAGACCAACCCCUCUUCCUCUUCCUCCUCUUCAGGCUACUCAACGGGAAGAUGACGAGGAUGAAGACCUUUAUGAUGAUCCACUUCCACUUAAUCUUCUACUGGAUAUGGUUGGGUCCCCUGACCAGGAUCUCCAGGAAGCUGCAGCUGGUUGUAUAUCCAAUAUCCGCAGGCUGGCUCUUGCUACAGAGAAGGCAAGAUACACUUGAAAUUUAAAUGGACAUUACAAGCUAUCAAAUUCUACAUGACACAGGACAUGUCACUCCCAUGGCCAGAAAGCCUAAAUUGGGAAACAGUUGUUAGCAAACCCUUUCAACCAUCUAAAUGAAAACACACAAAUUGAAAAUGCACAGAAUGUUUUUCAUCUGAAAAUUGCAUGGAGACUUUUGUUUCUAUUUAAUGUUUUCGAGAUAUGACAUGUGAUAAGAUGGAAAGCCAAUAAACCUGUGAUAAGUUUCUAAGAAUAUGAGAAUAUACGUAUAUGAUGUAUUUUUAGUUCAGUGAUGCUUUUGUAUUUGUGGCGAUUUUAAUAAAAAGGAUAUGGCCUUCCCAAUGCA
rnacentral:lncRNA from 1 species